AUACGUAGGGGGCGAGCGUUGUCCGGAAUGAUUGGGCGUAAAGGGCGCGUAGGCGGCCCGGUAAGUCUGGAGUGAAAGUCCUGUUUUUAAGAUGGGAAUUGCUUUGGAUACUGUCGGGCUUGAGUGCAGGAGAGGUAAGUGGAAUUCCCAGUGUAGCGGUGAAAUGCGUAGAGAUUGGGAGGAACACCAGUGGCGAAGGCGACUUACUGGACUGUAACUGACGCUGAGGCGCGAAAGUGUGGGGAGCAAACAGGAUUAGAUGCCCUGGUAGUCCACACUGUAACCGAUGAAUGCUAGGUGUAGGGGGUAUCGACCCCUUCUGUGCCGCAGUCAACACAAUAAGCAUUCCGCCUGGGGAGUACGGCCGCAAGGUUGAAACUCAAAUGAAUUGACGGGG
rnacentral:rRNA from 1 species